GUACGCGUGAUUUAUGACUUCAAUCUUGGUUCACCGAGAGUUCACACGGCUUUCGCUGCUGUUGAAGGCAAAGUGGUGCCUGAGGAUCUAACCAAUGAAAAAGCCUGGGAAAUAGGCUGUUUCUGCACCCCCUGACCCUUCAUGCAGAGCAGGAUAUCGGCUUCAGCCCAGGAGCAAUGCUAGAAGUUGAGAGGAAAUACAUGUACAUGGUUCAAAACUCAAAAGGCACCAAAAGUUAUACAGUGACAACCUUGUUUUCUCUAGAUCAGAGAGAUGGCUUCUGGAUUCAUCUUUCCCUGCAAUCCAGCUUCUCCUCCUGGGGCCCUCAUACUGGAGACUGGGAUCAUCAUCCAGGCUUUUGCACUGGGCCAGGAAUUUGGGAGUCAUCCUGGAUCCGUCUGCCCCUGUCAACCUUUCGCUGUCAACGGAUAUUUAUUGGGCGUCCUCAACAGCCAGGCCCUGUUCAUGGUACUGAAGAACAGCUUGUAUAAAACAACCCUGCCCUCACAGGGCGAUCACCAGUGACCUGUGGUGUGGAGUCUCCUUUUACCUAUGUCUCCUCCUUCCCACUGUCACCAUCCUUGGUCCUCCUCUGUCACCUGGAAUACUCCACUUGGUAACCAGCAUGAUCUUAUAACGCUAGUUUUACCCUUGUCAGCACUUUGCCAAAAACCUCAAAUAAAGACUUUUUUUAAAAUGUGCAAUGGAAAAAUAAAGUUAUAAAUUAUAUCAUAA
ensembl:lncRNA novel transcript